UUGAGUGACUAAGGUUAUACUGAUUAUUAGAAGUUAUUAGAUGUUGAAUAACUUUUAUUAAUAUUUAAACAAGUUUGUCUAAACUGGACUCUAACACAGGAAAUGUAGCUUAUUUUUAUUUUUACCUGACUUUAUCAAUGAUUCUCUGUCCUUGCUCUUUCAGACAAUGCAUUUUGAGUGACUAAAGAUCAUAUUGAUUAUUAGAAGUUGAAUAACUUUUAUUAAUAUUUAAACAAGUUUAUCUAAAUUCGACUCUAAACAGGAAAUUUAGUUUAGUUUUAUUUUUUUACCUGACUUUAUCAAUGAUUCUCUGUCCUUGCUCUUUCAGACAAUGCAUUUUGAGUGACUAAAGAUCAUAUUGAUUUACAUUAGAAGUUGAAUAACUUUUAUUAAUAUUCAAAGAAGUUUGUCUAAACUGGACUGUAAACAUGAAAUUUAGUUUAGUUUUAUUUUUGUACAUGACUUUAUCAAUGAUUCUCUGUCCCUGCUCUUUCAGAUAAUGCAUUUUGAGUGACUAAAGAUCAUAUUGAUUAUUAGAAGUUGAAUAACUUUUAUUAAUAUUUAAACAAGUUUGUCUAAACUGGAUUCUAAAACAGGAAAUUUAGUUUAUUUUUAUUUUUACCUGACUUGAUAAAUGAUUCUCUGUCCAGUUUCCAAACAGAAAAAAGGUGUUCCCUGAUUCUUUCGCUGUUUUAAUUCCUGGUGUGCAGGCUGCGAGUCCAUCCUACCAUAAAAGGGCAAAAAACGCCGAAAGAGCCAUGAUUAAUGAGCGACGUUCACCUUUACCUUGGAUCCACCUGCAAGAGCUGCUCUAUUGGAGCUGUGGAGACCUGCUGAGGCUGCUCUGUCUCAUUCAGCAACAGCAAACAUACAGUAUCGGUGGAUACAGAAAGAUGACAUGUGAGACAUAAAAAGGAAGCAGAGUUGACAACAAGACUCAUGGGCCUCCACCUGACAGUUUACAGCGGUCCUACUUGGCAAAAUGGAGUGACUCAAAGUGAACAGAAGAGAGAGCACACUGGCAGGACGCUGUAGUGGGUCUGAGGCCCAGAGGAGGAGAGAGGACUAGGAGAAGGGCAGUGGUCUAGAGACAGAGGUCCAUCCAUCACACAUGUCCUGACCUCAGCUUGACCCCAGCAAUGCAGCCAAUGAGGCGCCCUCACCCUCUAAAGAAAGCCCCCCAACAUACACACACACACACACACACACUUACCUACUCACACACACAGAAGAGAUCGGAUGACGCUGAGUGGAGUCUGGAUGCUCUUUGUGUUGGCGAUCGUCGCUUCCCAGAAUCCUUUGUUUUGUACGUGACUAAUAACGAACCUCACCCCCGAAGGUAUGGACGAGCUUCUCAUCACUCUCUUACUGUCUCAUCAUCGUGUUGACUGGCUGGCACGCCCGAGGACACAAGACAGCCAGACAUAAGGCACUGGCAGACCUGCAGGUUGACUUCUCAGUGGUAUGGCAAGUCUGAGUGUAUCUAGAGGGUCAUGACCCUCCCAGGCUGUGACCUGGACAAACAGGACUGAGGAGCUGCAACAGGACAUGGAAUGUCCCUUUUGUUUUUGUUUUGUUACAUUUUUUUGUUGAAAAGGUGGAAAAUUCCUCCCUCUGCACUUGCCAGAGCAAAAGAAAACAUUUUCUGGGCAACGAACGGGGCUGAGUUUACAUAAGAAACGUUAUGUGACUGUAACAAAAAAUCAUAUAAGCUCAGGCAGUGCUCUGUGUUAUAACGGAGGCUGCAUUAUUCUUUCUUUUCCCUUUGUGAUUGUCAUCUUCUAAGCCACUGAAAAUGUGAUUUAUUUUAAGAGCAGCCCUUUUUCUUUGCAAACAUAUUUUUGGUGUUAGCGCAGUCACUUGUCUGCAUUAUCUGUAUGUCCCACAUUAUAUAUGUUCUAUGCGCCUGGUACCAUGUGGAACCGAUUGUUU